rnacentral:rRNA from 1 species
AUUGAACGCUGGCGGCAGGCCUAACACAUGCAAGUCGAACGAGUGGCGGACGGGUGAGUAAUGUCUGGGAAACUGCCUGAUGAGGGGGAUAACUACUGGAAACGGUAGCUAAUACCGCAUACCAUCCGAUUUGCCCAGAUGGGGUUAGCUAGUUGGUGGGGUAACGGCUCACCAAGGCGACGAUCCCUAGCUGGGCUGAGAGGAUGACCAGCAACACGGGGACUGAGACACGGUCCAGACUCCGACGGGGGGCAGGAGUGGGGAAUAUGGCACAAUGGGCGCAAGCCUGAGACAGCCAUGCCGCGUGUAUGAAGAAGGCCUUCGGGUUGUAAAGUACUUUCAGCGGGGAGGCGGUACCCGCAGAAGAAGCACCGGCUAACUCCGUGCCAGCAGCCGCGGUAAUUC